AGGUACUUUCUAGGUGCUUCUGUGAAUCGCUCUGUUUUCCCUAGGUUAACGGCUCGGGCAACGUUUUUGUUUUGCUCAGAGGCUCGGCAAAUCGUCAGCGCGGGAAAGAUGGCAGUUGAAUGCGAGGUGCCCUCUCCAGUUCCCCUGAUGGAUCUGCGGAGUCGGAUAUCUGGCGCUGCGGAGAACCGAGCUGAUUGCAGUACCAGCACUCUGAAGCACUUAUUUGAGCAGGAAAGAUAAAGGGGAGCCGAUUACCCUUGAGAGGGAGGACCGGCUGCGGGCCGCACCCACGUGGAGACUGGAAGGGCGAGCCUCUCCAGGACAGCCCGUAUUUGGAUCUCCUGGUCUGAGCUGAUGAUUGCCAUCCUCCAGGCAUAAUCUCUGCUGAGAGGCUCGCCAUCGUGCAGCGCUAUGCAUUGCCAGAGCACGUGAGUUCACAGAACACUGUCGCUGCUCUUAUUCUGUAGUAUCGUGAGUGAAGAGUCUACUGUCGGAUCAACACACUCCAGGGUGUCUUUCUUCUCGACAUGGCUGAGAAGGGCAGCACAGGAGCAUAUAGCCAGACCGCUAAGAGGCCAAAAGGGAAGGAUGCAUCGUGUGUGCCGGGUCUGAUCGCAUAGGGUCAGUUUCGCCCCUGUCGGUGAACACCUGAAGAAGUAGAUUACAGACAAAAGAAAAGCUGCAUGCACAUCACAUUUUUCUUUCUUUUGCUCUUGACUCUCCUUUCCCCUGACGGCUCUCCACAGUUCCCCAUUCGCCAUUCGUUGGAGUCAUGUCAGCGUGGCAGCAUAUCGUGGCCGGUGCGUCCUAUUUCAUUGCCGCUAGCGGUUGUUUUCCGGAACUAGAGGACUAGGUUGAAUCCCAUAGAGUUUCAUACAGUCAAUGUUGCCUUGUAACAUGAAUAACGCUCUCAAACUGCGAUUGAAAGCGAAUUUUGAGGUUAAAUAGUGUUCCUAUAGGUGCCGGUUUUGAAAAUAAGCAUUUAUAGGCAUUUAGGCACAAAUUCCAAAAAUAAGCAUUCAUAGGCACUAUAAAACACUCUAAAAGCUUUACUUCAACUCAAAUUCAUGCUUAUAUAUCAGUAUGGGGCAAUAGGAAUGCAAGGAACAAAAUGGGCAUUUGCCUAAAAUCCAGUCUGUAGUUAUCACUACCUUGUUCUCACGGUAGGUUUAGUCCGUUUUUCGGAGCAUGUAUGGUCUUGCCCAUACAAUCGAGAGGGUUCGAAGGAAUUUUGGAGCCUCGCAGGCAAAUCAGGAGAGUUGGCAGGUAUGCAAAUAUACUAGUUGCAUUAUGACAUGGUGAUUCCACAAGUAGCACGUGACAUACUGCCCAUGUGUGACUGCCAUGUUGCAAUAAAGCACAUCUACACAGGUGUGCAUGUCAGCUGACUGCAAGGCAUACCAUCAACUGUUACAUUUUUUUUUUUCCCCGCUGGCAGCAGUGAGACUGGGGUGCUUCACCUAUCAAUGGGCAUCACUAUGUGCCAUUGCCUUGUGGCUCCAAAGCAGUCAUUUCCCCAGAUUUUCAGCGAAAUCAUGUUUGGGCAUUGCCACACAGCACCUAAAAUCUUUAAAUUAGCCGGGAUGGUGCAGUCGCUACUUCGAACUUUCCUGUGAAAUCUAUGUUAGAAAAUAUGUGACCACAGAAAUUCUUCAUUAAGCAGGAUUUUGACAUAACAGAGUUUGAGUUAUCAUGGUUUUACUGUAGUGAAAUCUAGGUAACGCAUUGUCAAGCAAACACCUAGCUAGGUGUUUGCUUGACAAUGCUCUCGAGCUCUGCUCACGAGACAUGUAAGAGAUGCAAAGCUUGCAAUGGCAAGCCCACCAGUGGUUUUGGAAAUGAUAUGCAUCUGUAAGUACCAUUGUUGUGCACUCAGUACAAGACAAGUGACCUGCUGAGGCACAAAUUGUUGGAAACAGCAUGGGUGCAGUGUACUACAUGCUACCUCACAUGAACAUCGGAUAAAACAAAACAGUAAGCAGAUGACCAUUGUUUGACGUUUCUGAAGAUAG